GGCUUAAUAGUCAAAUUCAAUGAUUUUAAAUUGCAAAUUUAAAGGUAAGUAAUCUUUUAAGCUU
rnacentral:tRNA from 3 species